rnacentral:rRNA from 1 species
AGUGAACGCUGGCGGUAGGCCUAACACAUGCAAGUCGAACGGCAGCACAGAGGAGCUUGCUCCUUGGGUGGCGAGUGGCGGACGGGUGAGGAAUACAUCGGAAUCUACUCUGUCGUGGGGGAUAACGUAGGGAAACUUACGCUAAUACCGCAUACGACCUACGGGUGAAAGCAGGGGAUCUUCGGACCUUGCGCGAUUGAAUGAGCCGAUGUCGGAUUAGCUAGUAGGCGGGGUAAAGGCCCACCAAGGCGACGAUCCGUAGCUGGUCUGAGAGGAUGAUAAGCCACACUGGAACGGAGACACGGUCCAGACUCCUACGGGAGGCAGCAGUGGGGAAUAUUGGACAAUGGGCGCAAGCCUGAUCCAGCCAUACCGCGUGGGUGAAGAAGGCCUUCGGGUUGUAAAGCCCUUUUGUUGGGAAAGAAAUCCAUCUGGUUAAUACCCGGGUGGGAUGACGGUACCCAAAGAAUAAGCACCGGCUAACUUCGUGCCAGCAGCCGCCGUAA